rnacentral:rRNA from 1 species
AUUGAACGCUAGCGGGAUGCUUUACACAUGCAAGUCGAACGAGUGGCGGACGGGUGAGUAAUAUAUCGGAACGUGCCCAGUAGCGGGGGAUAACUACUCGAAAGAGUGGCUAAUACCGCAUACUAUUGGAGCGGCCCAUAUGGGAUUAGCUAGUUGGUGGGGUAAAGGCUCACCAAGGCAACGAUCCGUAGCUGGUUUGAGAGGAUGAUCAGCCACACUGGAACUGAUACACGGGCCAUACGCAUACGGGAGGUAGCAGUGGGGAAUAUUGCACAAUGGGGAAAGCCUGAUGCAUCCAUGCCGCGUGUGUGAAGAAGGUCGUCGGAUUGUAAAGUACUUUAAGCUGGGAGGCGUGACCAGCAGAAGAAGCACCGGCUAACUCCGUGCCAGCAGCCGCGGUAAUAC